UAGGGAGCGUAGGUGGACUGGUAAGUCAGUUGUGAAAGUUUGCGGCUCAACCGUAAAAUUGCAGUUGAUACUGUCAGUCUUGAGUACAGUAGAGGUGGGCGGAAUUCGUGGUGUAGCGGUGAAAUGCUUASAUAUCACGAAGAACUCCGAUUGCGAAGGCAGCUCACUGGACUGCAACUGACACUGAUGCUCGAAAGUGUGAGUAUCACACAGUAA
rnacentral:rRNA from 1 species